rnacentral:rRNA from 1 species
GUAGGUGGCAAGCGUUGUCCGGAAUUAUUGGGCGUAAAGCGCGCGCAGGCGGUUCUUUAAGUCUGGAUGUGAAAGCCCACGGCUCAACCGUGGAGGGUCAUUGGAAACUGGAGAACUUGAGUACAGAAGAGGAAAGCGGAAUUCCACGUGUAGCGGUGAAAUGCGUAGAGAUGUGGAGGAACACCAGUGGCGAAGGCGGCUUUCUGGUCUGUAACUGACGCUGAGGCGCGAAAGCGUGGGGAGCAAACAGGAUUAGAUACCCUGGUAGUCCACGCCGUAAACGAUGAGUGCUAAGUGUUAGGGGGUUUCCGCCCCCCUUAGUGCUGCAGCUAACGCAUUAAGCACUCCGCCUGGGAUACGGCCGCAAGGCUG